CACCCCUCACAGAAUUGAGUUUUGGCGUGGAAAGCACAGACUUCACUGAGGCCAAAGCUGAAUCACAGCAGAUCCAGCAUCCUAAGGUACCGUGAGCAGCCACCUGCUGAGAGCACCUGCCAUGGGGAAUUAUUUUAACUCAGUGACAAGCCAUUUUUGGGGACAACCAGGACAGCCUGAUUAGGUUGACUGCAUGGUUCUUCUGUUCCACUGAGUAAUAGAUGGAGUCACUCAGGAAGCUGCACCCCAGUGACGGGGCUGGCCAGAAGGUCCAAGAAGGACUCUCUCACAUGCCUGGGGCCCUGGUACUGUCAGCUGUGGUAACCCAAUUCUCCUUCAUGUGGCUUUUACUCUCCAUGGUUUUUCCUCCUCCAGCACCUGUCCACACAGCCUCUUUCUAGGAUAGACUGGAUUUCUUUUACAGCAUGGAAGCUGUCUUCCAAAAGGAAGGAAGCAGAGGUGUCCCAUCCUUUUAAGGGCUAUCCUAAAACCAGCUCAGCGUUACUUCU